AAUUCUUUGAAAGAAAAAAAAAAAAACUACCUUCCUGGCUGGUCCUGGGUAUAGAAAUAGUAGGGCUCCUAUUAGUUUUUGUUCACUGUGAAGUCUCUCUUUUCUAGAAAGUGCUUUGUUACCUAAACAAGUAUACCUCAGGUAAAGGGUUAGAAUUAAUUAUAAGUUAUAACCGUGGAAAAAACAAAGCACUAGUACUCAAAAACCAAGUCUCUUCUCCUCAAGUAUAUAUUUGCAAUUAAGAACAUAGAAUUUGUGUAUCAUAUUGUGCUUUGAGUCCAAUUCCCAGGAAUGAAUGACCCCAAAUAUGCCUAUCCAUACCCUGCUCAAGGGUAUUAUCAAGGUCCCCCAGUGAUGGCACCACCUCAAUAUGCUGCUCCACCACCCAGAAGACAAAGUACUGGAUUCCUUGAGGGAUGUUUUGCAGCUCUAUGUUGUUGUUGCCUCUUAGAUGAAUGUUGCUGUGACCCGUCAAUCAUAUGUAUCUGCUAAAAAUAUAAAAGUUCCUGCAUUUAGAAAAAUAUAAAUAAAGAAGCUAGGUUAGCUAUUUAAAUAUUGAUACUUCAAGCUAAAAUUUUAGCAAAUAGUUUUACUUUAAGUUUAUAAUUACGCUAUGAUAAAUCUGAUUUUCAUUUUCCAACUUGGUUGUAAGUUGUUUUAUCUACAGGCGUGGUUUUACAGAUUCUAUCGUGAUCUGAUUAUGUAAUGUAAUGCAAUGUGUGGUAAACACAAAAUUCUUGAGUUACAUUGGGUCCCCUAUGUUCCCUUAAUCAUCUUCAUAUUUUUGAAUCAUCAAUAUGAAUUUGAAUAGGAAACGCGGAAAUGUAACUUUGGCAAACCGUCAACGUGGAUAAGAUGCAUGCAACAUUAUCAAA